GACGAACGCUGGCGGCGUGCCUAAUACAUGCAAGUCGAGCGGACCAAAGGGAGCUUGCUCCUGGAGGUUAGCGGCGAACGGGUGAGUAACACGUGGGCAACCUGCCUGUAAGACUGGGAUAACAUCGAGAAAUCGGUGCUAAUACCGGAUAAUAAAAAGAACUGCAUGGUUCUUUUUUGAAAGAUGGUUUCGGCUAUCACUUACAGAUGGGCCCGCGGCGCAUUAGCUAGUUGGUGGGGUAACGGCUCACCAAGGCGACGAUGCGUAGCCGACCUGAGAGGGUGAUCGGCCACACUGGGACUGAGACACGGCCCAGACUCCUACGGGAGGCAGCAGUAGGGAAUCUUCCGCAAUGGACGAAAGUCUGACGGAGCAACGCCGCGUGAGUGAUGAAGGUUUUCGGAUCGUAAAACUACUGUUGUUAGGGGAGAACAAGUGCCGUUCGAAAGGGCGGCACCUUGACGGUACCUAACGAGAAAGCCACGGCUAACUACGUGCCAGCAGCCGCGGU
rnacentral:rRNA from 1 species